CUGCCGUAAAUGCCAGAUGGCGUAACGGGUAGUAAGUUAAAUCUUCUUUGCUCCUACCCAAGACCGGCUCCUUCUCUGCAUAAAAGAUACAGCACUUCCUAAAACAGAAUCAAACGCACUGCAACAUAGAUCACAACCACCAGCCAUACUGCAGAUGUCUUAACUGAAUUCCAAGCAAAUAAAGUGUGUCAUGCCAGUA